rnacentral:rRNA from 1 species
GGUGAACGCUGGCGGCGUGCUUAAGACAUGCAAGUCGAACGGCAGUCUUCGGACUGUAGUGGCGCACGGGUGAGUAACGCGUAACUGACCUACCCCAAAGUCGCGGAUAACGAUUCGAAAGAAUCGCUAAUACGUGAUGUGCUGUCAGAUUGUGUUCUGCACGUAACGAUUGAUUGCUUUGGGAUGUGGUUGCGUUCCAUCAGCUAGUUGGUGGGGUAAAGGCCCACCAAGGCGACGACGGAUAGCCGGCCUGCGAGGGUGGCCGGCCACAGGGGCACUGAGACACGGGUCCCACUCCUACGGGAGGCAGCAGUUAGGAAUCUUCCACAAUGGGCGAAAGCCUGAUGGAGCGACGCCGCGUGAGGGAUGAAGGUCUUCGGAUCGUAAACCUCUGAAUCAGGGACGAAAGACACUUCGGUGGGAUGACGGUACCUGAGUAAUAGCACCGGCUAACUCCGUGCCAGCCGCCGCCGUAACAC